UACAGAGGUCCCAAGCGUUGUUCGGAUUCAUUGGGCGUAAAGGGUGCGUAGGCGGCGGGGCAAGUCAGGUGUGAAAUCCCGGAGCUCAACUCCGGAACUGCAUUUGAUACUGCCUUGCUCGAGUACUGGAGAGGAGACUGGAAUUUACGGUGUAGCAGUGAAAUGCGUAGAUAUCGUAAGGAAGACCAGUGGCGAAGGCGAGUCUCUGGACAGUUACUGACGCUGAGGCACGAAGGCCAGGGGAGCAAACGGG
rnacentral:rRNA from 1 species